rnacentral:rRNA from 1 species
GAUGAACGCUGGCGGCGUGCCUAAUACAUGCAAGUCGAGCGAACAGACGAGGAGCUUGCUCCUCUAACGUUAGCGGCGGACGGGUGAGUAACACGUGGAUAACCUACCUAUAAGACUGGGAUAACUUCGGGAAACCGGAGCUAAUACCAGAGAAUAUAUUGAACCGCAUGGUUCAAUAGUGAAAGACGGUUUUGCUGUCACUUAUAGAUGGAUCCGCGCCGCAUUAGCUAGUUGGUAAGGUAACGGCUUACCAAGGCAACGAUGCGUAGCCGACCUGAGAGGGUGAUCGGCCACACUGGAACUGAGACACGGUCCAGACUCCUACGGGAGGCAGCAGUAGGGAAUCUUCCGCAAUGGGCGAAAGCCUGACGGAGCAACGCCGCGUGAGUGAUGAAGGUCUUCGGAUCGUAAAACUCUGUUAUUAGGGAAGAACAAAUGUGUAAGUAACUAUGCACGUCUUGACGGUACCUAAUCAGAAAGCCACGGCUAACUACGUG